rnacentral:siRNA from 1 species
GAUGCAUAUAAACCCCAAAACGAU